rnacentral:rRNA from 1 species
UACGGAGGGUGCAAGCGUUAUCCGGAUUCACUGGGUUUAAAGGGUGCGUAGGAGGGCAGGUAAGUCAGUGGUGAAAUCUCCAAGCUUAACUUGGAAACUGCCGUUGAUACUAUCUGUCUUGAAUACCGUGGAGGUGAGCGGAAUAUGUCAUGUAGCGGUGAAAUGCUUAGAUAUGACAUAGAACACCAAUUGCGAAGGCAGCUCGCUACACGAAUAUUGACUCUGAGGCACGAAAGCGUGGGUAGCGAACAGG